rnacentral:rRNA from 1 species
ACCGUACUCCUACGGGAGGCAGCAGUGGGGAAUUUUGGACAAUGGGGGCAACCCUGAUCCAGCAAUGCCGCGUGAGUGAAGAAGGCCUUCGGGCUGUAAAGCUCUUUUGUCAGGGAAGAAACGGUAGUAGCUAAUAUCUAUUACUAAUGACGGUACCUGAAGAAUAAGCACCGGCUAACUACGUGCCAGCAGCCGCGGUAAUACGUAGGGUGCAAGCGUUAAUCGGAAUUACUGGGCGUAAAGCGUGCGCAGGCGGUUGUGUAAGUCAGAGGUGAAAUCCCCGGGCUCAACCUGGGAAUUGCAUUUGAGACUGCACGGCUAGAGUGUGUCAGAGGGGGGUAGAAUUCCACGUGUAGCAGUGAAAUGCGUAGAUAUGUGGAGGAAUACCGAUGGCGAAGGCAGCCCCCUGGGAUAACACUGACGCUCAUGCACGAAAGCGUGGGGAGCAAACAGGAUUAGAUACCCCGGUGGUCCUUGAC